rnacentral:rRNA from 2 species
CGAGCGAACAGACGAGGAGCUUGCUCCUCUGACGUUAGCGGCGGACGGGUGAGUAACACGUGGAUAACCUACCUAUAAGACUGGGAUAACUUCGGGAAACCGGAGCUAAUACCGGAUAAUAUAUUGAACCGCAUGGUUCAAUAGUGAAAGACGGUUUUGCUGUCACUUAUAGAUGGAUCCGCGCCGCAUUAGCUAGUUGGUAAGGUAACGGCUUACCAAGGCAACGAUGCGUAGCCGACCUGAGAGGGUGAUCGGCCACACUGGAACUGAGACACGGUCCAGACUCCUACGGGAGGCAGCAGUAGGGAAUCUUCCGCAAUGGGCGAAAGCCUGACGGAGCAACGCCGCGUGAGUGAUGAAGGUCUUCGGAUCGUAAAACUCUGUUAUUAGGGAAGAACAAAUGUGUAAGUAACUAUGCACGUCUUGACGGUACCUAAUCAGAAAGCCACGGCUAACUACGUGCCAGCAGCCGCGGUAAUACGUAGGUGGCAAGCGUAAUCCGGAAUUAUUGGGCGUAAAGCGCGCGUAGGCGGUUUUUUAAGUCUGAUGUGAAAGCCCACGGCUCAA